GGUCUGGCUGGGUGGUCUGCCUUCGUGUAAGUACUGCAUCGGCCGGGCCUUUCCUUCUGGUGAGCCGGCAUGUCCUUUACUGGGUGUGUCGGGGAACCAGGACUUUUACUUUGAAAAAAUUAGAGUGUUUAAAGCAGGCCUACGCUUGAAUACAUUAGCAUGGAAUAAUAGAAUAGGACU
rnacentral:rRNA from 1 species